rnacentral:misc_RNA from 1 species
UCCAACUUAUCGCUGGCGGUCUCCUGAGAGUGCCCCCUUGCGGGGUUGCAACACAGGACAAGGGUUGCGCUCGUUGCGGGACUUAACCCAACAUCUCACGACACGAGCUGACGACAACCAUGCACCACCUGUGCAGGGCUCCGAAGGACACCGUAUCUCUACGGCUUUUCCCUGCAUGUCAAGCCCAGGUAAGGUUCUUCGCGUUGCCUCGAAUUAAGCAACAUGCUCCGCCGCUUGUGCGGGCCCCCGUCAAUACCUUUGAGUUUUAGCCUUGCGGCCGUACUCCCCAGGCGGGGCAUUUAGUGCGUUAGCGACGGCACGGGAGGAGUCGACACCUCCCACACCUAAUACCCAUCGUUUACGGCGUGGACUAC